rnacentral:lncRNA from 1 species
AGGUGGAGACUUUGAACAACCUGACUCCCCACUGACAGUAGCAGAAAUAAAUUCAAAAAUCCCAUGAAUUUCUUCGAGGUGGUCUAAACCACCCCGUGAAGUUCCAAUCAAAUUUAAGAGAUCCGUACUCGCCGUCCACGCCAAGAAAGAAGGGAGUCAUCAAUGUCGCAGCAAGCAAUGGAUUCAACAAAGAAAGAGCAAGUUUUGUUCAACCCCAAAUAUUGACCGUAACCUAUUCUUCACUAACGGUGUAGAAGCUUGUUGGCAAAAAUAGAACAACAUGAUCCAAGAGGAUGGCAUGUUGCUGGUGUUCUAUACCUGAAAGGUCACGCAAGAAGAGAAGGAAGAAGAAAAGUUUUUCAGAUAACAUGAAAGCCAUUCACGUGGCCAUCAUGUUGGAUAAAAGAGACAAAGGAUCAAGGGAAAAGUGCAUAUGUUAAGAAGCCAUUCAUGAGGUCAUCGGUCAAAAAAAAAAUAAGAAAGCAGACACAGGGACAAAGGAAAAGUGCAUAUUUUGAUAAAUGAACAAAGGAAAAGAAGCCAAAAUUUUUGAUAAAAGAAAAGUCCUCAAUACAGCUUUGAUAAAGACAAAGAAGGAAGGAGACGUCUUUCAUGUGGCUAUCAUUUUGAUCAAAAUAUUGUGUCAAACUUUUGACCAAAAAGCAUUCAAAAAAUGCUACAAGACAAGGAAAGAAAGGAAAAUUUCCCAAUGUUCAAAUCUGCCAUGUGAAGAUUGGAUAAAAGAAAACGGUUCAAACCUUUACAUCAAACACUUGCUGUCCCAAAUUUACAGAAGAGAAAAAACUCACUGUCAAAAUUUCCAAAUCAAUUGAGAAAUUCACUCACACGGCAACCUUUACAUUAAACACCUAAAGACUUGGUCAAGGCAAGUCAAAUAAAUCUCUAUAUGGAAACAGAGAUGCCGGAAGGUGAUAAUUACACAUUAAUGCACCAAAAACCCAAUCAAGUAUGGUAGACAUGAAGAGUGCAUUACUACAAAUUUCAAGGGCGCAAUUCUCACCUUUGGAGCCAUGAAUCAACACUUGUUUUCAAAGUACUACAAAAUAGUUUGUCCAACAACUAAUCAAAGAGAUAUCGUUGCCAAAAACUCCUGCACGAAACAAUUAAACCAAUCAGUUGCAGUUCAGAGUUUCAACACACUCCAAAUCAAACCCAGAACAUAAAAAAAAAACAAAAAUGGGGCGACCUGCUGAUUAUUUUUCUCCUCCUUUUUUGCUUUGAAUUUCUGCUCCACAAAAGAAUCACAAGCCGGGUAGUAAGAGCAAGAGAACAAUGCAGCAAAAAAAUGGAGAUUAUGACCUGCACAAGAAGAAGCCUUUCCGAUUUAGGGGGGAAAUAAUGGUAAAUUGAAGAAAUUUGAAAAGGAUCUAAGCUCCAACAAACCUUACCCAUUCUCACUUGGAAAUCAACGGUUACCCAAUCCAAAUAGAGGUUCGAAAUAUACGGAAUCGACGGAAGCCCAAGUAUAUCGGAAUAGUUGCUUGCUUAUGGUAGAAGAACACCGUGUGUUAGAGCCAAGGAAAAAGAGGAUUCCUUUGAAGCCAUCUCGCAAGGGUAGGGGAUGAAUAAACUUUAGCCCUCACGUGGGAGUCUGCUCACAUGAAGAAAAAGUGAGGUUGUUGAAAUUAGAAGUCCCAUUGGAACUUGGAAGCCUUAAAAUCAAAUAAUAAAUAUUAAAAAAAAAAAGAAGAGAAAGUUAAGUUUAUUGUCAGAAAACUUGGGUCUUGGGUCAAAUGGGUUCAAAGUCCCAUGUCAAAUGGGUUUGAAAAUUCAAAAGAAAAUUAUAAAAAAAAAAGGGGGAAGCUGCUUCUUAAAGAAUUCCAUCAAAAGCCUUUUUUGUGCAGGACUUUGACGCCAUGUGACGUCCUGUCUGGACUUGGAAAAUUUAGGUGUACGAGGGAAAGAAAUAAGAAGCUUGCUAUGUACAAUUCCCUCAAAUUAAAUGGGAAUGCUAUCCACGUGGAACCCAGAGGGAAAAAGUGUAGCUCUUCCAUAUUUCUCAUGUGAGCUUUAUGAAUAUGGCAUCCAUCAAAGUUAAAUUUAUUCAAGAAGUCUGAGAUGCACGGCACCAAGAUAAAGUCAAAUACCAAAGUAAUAGUGGGUUCAUCACAAAUAUUUCCAUUAAAUUUACAAGACACAAAUGGCAUGAAGCCGCAACAAAACUCAAAUGGUACGAAGCUGUAUCAAAUCCUAAAUGGCAUGAAGCCGUGUUCAAUAUCA